rnacentral:lncRNA from 1 species
UGCACAAAACAGCUCUCGCUUUCCUAAAGUCAAGUAUGAGUCCUAGACUUAAACAAACUUGGGUAUCACAAGCUAUCUCAUUAAAUUCUUAAGUAACCAAUGUCUUAUUGAGAUCAAAAUCACAACAUCAGACAAUAUGUCAUAUGCAACACCACCAGAAAACCAUAACCUGGAAUUCGUUCACCUUCCCCAUGAAUUUCAACAAACUCAGAAUAUGGGCAACCUCAACCAGAAUGCAUACUUUCGGGAAUUAAUUUGAAAACCAUAUGAAAUGGGCUUGAAAGAUCCUAACAUUUUAGUACAUUAUAAAUAAGACAUU